GGUUGUGGCAGUGACCACAGGACAUACCGGCUCGGUAUCAUUUCAUGCAGCAGUGUGCAGUUGAAUCUCAAACUGUGACAGUGAGGUUUCCAAAGGAAUUUAAAGAAGGGAUUUUCUAUCGCGGGGCCUCGCUGCUGCAGAGCCCCGUGUUUAGUGGAUUAAUACUGAGCUUGGUGGACCCAGCGCAGCUGGCUGCUUCAGUCCGGUCACAUAUUUGCGCUUCAAAUGUGCACUGCGUGUGGAAAAUACUUACUCCGUAAAUUACAUUUUAUCGUAAAAAAAAAAAAAUCAGUGUUUGGUGGUUAAAAAAGUAGAAGUUUCCUAAAUUAACUGCUAAGAGUACCAUAUGGUUUUUGUAGAACUUAAUGCAAGAGAGGACACAAUUAAUUUUGCAUUUGUGUUUCAUGUUUACUAUUUAUUCCUUGUGGAAAGAACACAAUGAAGCCUCCUAUCAGUUCUAUAAACUGAAGGCAGAGGGUCGUUUUUUAUUACCUUACAUUAAAUAUACCAAUUAUACUGCAGUGCUGAGAGUAACAGUGAUGGGAAACCUUUUUAGAUUUUCCAUAUAACAGCACUAAAAUGUGACAGUCAUUAUGAAAACAUUUUGUCAGCAGCAAGAUUCCCCAUCAACACUGUCAGAAUUCACUGGCUUCAGGAAUGCACCAACUUACCUGUUUAAUAACCAAAAAUAUUAGUUUAAAAUAAUUAAACCAACUGUGAAAAUACAAAACAAUGAAUAAAUGUACACACAAACAUAAGAUAAAAUAUCCAACUUACUAUGAAAGUAAAAAUGUGAAACUUUUUAAUAAAAAUUCUGGAAGAAACAAAACAGAAUGUACAACAUGUUUAAAUUAAGUAAAGAAUAAAAAUGAUUUUCAUUGUUGUUGUUAAAGCAGAUUAACUCGGAAAAUAUAACAUUUCUGCACCAAGAAGGUACUGAGCACAUGGACAUGAUGCUAGCAUCACAUCAUCUUUGCGUUGACUCGUUAGAGAGACGCUGCACACCGUGAAGCCUCAUCACCAAAGCACCCUCACAUUCUCAGCUUUGUAUUGUAACACAAGCUGACUGUCUCACACAUAUGACCCAC
ensembl:lncRNA